rnacentral:rRNA from 1 species
UACGUAGGGGUGCAAGCGUUGUCCGGAAUUAUUGGGCGUAAAGAGCUCGUAGGCGGCUUGUCACGUCGACUGUGAAAACCCGGGGCUCAACUCCGGGCCUGCAGUCGAUACGGGCUGGCUUGAGUGCGGUAGGGGAGUGUGGAAUUCCCGGUGUAGCGGUGAAAUGCGCAGAUAUCGGGAGGAACACCAGUGGCGAAGGCGGCACUCUGGGCCGGUACUGACGCUGAGGCACGAAAGCGUGGGGAGCAAACAGG